ACCCUAGCCUCCCCAAAGCUUCUAUCAUACGCUUUCCUGAACGCUUCUUCUUCUUCUACCUGCAUCUCAUUCUCUCUGAGUCACUUGUGCUUGAAGCUUAACAAAGGAUUCCAAAAUCAAGCUUAUUCACGAAGGUUUUAAUUUUUUGAUCGUUCGUUUUUCUGUGAAACCCUAACGGUGUUGGUAUUAAGAUUUUAAUCAAAACCAACUGUUUGAUCCGUCUUGUGGUUCAACGUAUGUUUAUCUUUGUGCUUCUUGUGUUUAUUUUGCUUAUUUUCUAUUCUAAUUGCUUCUAAACUACCCCCGAUUUCUUCAAGCUUUUGUUAAUUGACUCAUACAACAGUCCCUGCAUAUUUUCAAUUUCUAUGAUCCUUGAUCAAAAGAUGAUUGCUAGACCAACAAAGAUUAUAUGGAUCAAUUCGUUUUAGGGCUGUUAAAACUCGCUCUUACGAUCUGUUAGGGUUUCAAUUCAUUUGUUGUUUUAAAUGCACAAUAAAUUGAAAAUAUGAUUAGAACGAUUAGAGUUCUUGAUAUAUAUUAUUGCACACUUACACAUUUAUUGUUGAUUGAAGAAAAUUGUGAAGUUGGAAAUUAAUCGAUAAGGGUUUUAUCUUUGAAUAAAAUUGUUUUUUUUUUCUAGAACGUUUUUUUGACAAAUUAGAUGUCUUUUAUUGAUCAUAAUCAAUUUAUGGGAGAUGCGAAUGACUACACAAUUUUAUGGUCGUGAAGGCUGGGCAACAUUUUUCUUUAUUGCAGGUAUGUUUGUGUCCGGUGAGAAGCUCACGUCUAGCGAUUAGCAGCGGGUUAUGCUAAAACGGGUUGGUUUGACCCAAAACAUUUUUUAUCUCAUUAUGUUUGAUGGUUGUUGAGUGGGUUGGUUUGUUGUGAUGUGUUUAGGACGAAUAGAGGAAGUUAAAUUGGGCAUGGAUGUUGUAUCUGCAGAGAUACUGGAGGGAUGCACUGGAUGCGAAAAAGGAGGCUUUGAUUCGGUUUCUUCAGAAUGGGUCGUUGGGGAUUGUUGGAGGUGAUGGGGUGAUGAAUGAUGAGGUGCAACAAUAUUUGACGGGGAAUACUCAAAAUAGGUUUAUAAUCUUCAAUAGGAGAAGGCACUUAUUGUCAGGGUUUCAUGGAAGGCCGCAGGUCAUUAAUAGGUAACUUGCAUAUCAUUGAUGGAAGCAAGGUCAGCCAUUGACUUGGGUAGAUUUAUAUGUGUGUUUGUUAUAUGUAUAUAUGUAUGUGUGUUUAAACUGUAAUAUAUACGAUAUGAUUUAUUACUUUUGAGGUUGAAAUAAUUUGUAUAGUGAAAAGAUGUAAAUAAAGGUGAGUUCUUGAAGCGAAGCCGCAUGACGCGUUGGUAUUUUUUUCAAGGAAAUGCAAUCUGGUAGAUUCUGAAUUGGAUUUUAGAGACAAGAAAUAUGAUCGCUACCAGGCAUACUUAACCGAGUCUAACAUUGCAAUUUUGUGUUAUAUGGUUCACCUCAUACUACCACCAGGUCAUGAAUAGGUUACUUGCAUAUCAUUGAUGGAAGCAAGGUCAGCCAUUGACUCGGUACAUUUAUAUUGAAAAGAUGUAGAAAAAGGUGAGUUCUUGAAGCGAAGCCGCUUGACGCGUUGGUAUUUUUUUUCAAGGAAAUGCAAUCUGUUCUUGAGCUCUUGAAGUGAUCCAUGAACCGAAUGGACCAACACCGUAUUCACAAUUUGAUCAUUCUUCUAUCGCGAUAACUGUAAAGAAAUUCUUCAAUUUAGAAUCCGAUUUCUUGACCAAGCGCGAUGAGUGGGCUGGCACCUUUGAGAGUUACUUCAACCUUCGUAGUACUCCACGUGAGGAUUGUCCAGGUUGAGGAUCCAGCUGAAGUUGAGGUGGUAUAGACACAUGUUAGUGGCAAUUUAGUAGCUAAGGAGGCGAAGCCAGCUCUGCAUGCUACCCAUGCUAUCCAUGACAAAGAAGUUAAAGGACAAAAGUCCAACUUUUCUUGAAUAAGUCAACCUGGAAGUUACUACCUGCACAAGAGAAAUUCAUAGUCAAAUCAGUGCUAUAAGAAUAGAUGCAAUUAUCAACAUGAUGUCUCCUUCACACAUUAUAUCCUUUUAUGAGGUUCUACGGUUCUUUCGUUUUUAGUUAUUUAUUUUCUUGGCCUAUGUGACCUGUACUGGUCGCUUUCUUCCCCUUAAGGCCGUUUAUGGUGGAGUUUGGCCUAACAUUUUAAAGUCGGACAUGUUUGGGUGCAACAACACGGUCAACGUCUAGAAAUUAAUCAAAGGUAUAGUUGGUGAUGGCAGCUCUAUUUGGUUCUGGGUUGAUGCUUGGGUGGCGGAUGUAACUCUUCAGUCUCUCUACUCGGCCUUAUUUCAGCUUGAAACUAAUAAACACUGUACGGUCAAAGAUCACAUCCCCACCACGUCGGAGACUACGGGGUUGACGUGGGUCUGGUCUUAUGAAAUGGAUUCUGCUGAUGAGCUGAAUGAGCUUUGGGAUUGUUGCAACCGGUUGUUUGGGAUCAACAUCCCUGGUGGGGUUGACAAAUGGAAUUGGUUGGGGGAAUCAUAUGGGGAAUUCUUAGUUAGAAUCUUAAAAUGUCUUCUUCAAAGCGAGGUUGUGGUUUCAACUAAUGAUCACUUUGAAUAGGUCAAGUGGUUGCCCAAAAAAGUCAAUAUCUUUACCAUAUUCACCCCUUUUCUCAAGCCUCCGCGACUUGCAAAAUGAUUCAUUUGGUUAUUAUCCUUGCUUGCUGGGUAAUUUGGAAGAAAAGAAACGAAGUGAUCUCUAAUUGCCUGACUGACCCGGUGAAAAUGUUGAAAGAUGUCAAAGCUUUGGGGUUCUUAUGGGUGUAUAACGGAGCUAACCUUCUAUCCUUUGAUUGAAACAGUUGGUACAACUUUUUAGUUUAUGUAACCUCUGUAUAUUCUCAUGUUGUAUAGCCUUUGGCUUGCUUUUUUCUUAAUAAAUUUGGCUGAUAAAAAAAUAUUUUGAAGACA